GACGAACGCUGGCGGCGUGCUUAACACAUGCCAGUCGUACGGUAAGGCCCUUUCGGGGGUACACGAGUGGCGAACGGGUGAGUAACACGUGAGUAACCUGCCCACAACUUUGGGAUAACGCUAGGAAACUGGUGCUAAUACUGGAUAUGUGCUCCUGCUGCAUGGUGGGGGUUGGAAAGCUCCGGCGGUUGUGGAUGGACUCGCGGCCUAUCAGCUUGUUGGUGGGGUAGUGGCCUACCAAGGCGGCGACGGGUAGCCGGCCUGAGAGGGUGACCGGCCACAUUGGGACUGAGAUACGGCCCAGACUCCUACGGGAGGCAGCAGUGGGGAAUAUUGCACAAUGGGCGCAAGCCUGAUGCAGCAACGCCGCGUGCGGGAUGACGGCCUUCGGGUUGGAAACCGCUUUCAGCAGGGACGAAGCUUUUUGUGACGGUACCUGCAGAAGAAGCACCGGCUAACUACGUG
rnacentral:rRNA from 1 species